UGUGUGUGCGUGUGUACACCGUACACACACGGCAGCGGAAGGCAGGAGGGCGAACGGAAAAGGAAUGAUAGGACGAUUUCUCUCGAAACGAAAGCAGAGGGACGGGAAGAAGGCGAAACAACCUGGACAGGUGUCUCUGACGGUGAAGAUCCAGAAGCGCCGGGGUUGAAUUCGACUCGAGCGCCGCGUCAGCUAUGGUUUGCUGUAGGGGACGAUAGAGCCUUGGUGUCUCACACGAUCAAGAAGACAGGAGUUUCCUUGUCAGCCCGGCCACGAGGCGAGAGACCAACCUGACGGACGACGCGGAGGAGGAGGUUGAGAGAGGGAGAACAUGAGAAAGUGACAAGUUGGAUGGCUGCUUUUUGACUUGCUGGACACAGAACCGACGGCGACACAGCGACUGCGAGUCCCAUCAUCAUCAUCAUCCCACAGGCCCAAAAUCUGAUUGGAUGGUUUUGUCAGAAUGACAGCGGAAGAUCCCAUUUCUUCAUCAAACAUGAGCAACAACUCUGCCCCCUCCAAACCCUCUGGUGCCUCCCACCAUCCCCUCCAAGCACAAAUCACUCUCCCAGAGGGAGUCGCAGGAGCUCCCAAUGAGGCUGCACUGUUGUCCUUGAUGGAACGCACUGGCUACGGUAUGGUCCAAGAAAACGGUCAGCGUAAAUACGGCCCACCUCCAGGUUGGAGUGGUCCAGCUCCUCCCCGGGGAUGUGAAAUCUUUGUUGGCAAGAUCCCACGAGACGUUUACGAGGACGAACUGGUCCCAGUGUUCGAGUCCGUAGGACGCAUCUACGAGAUGCGUCUGAUGAUGGACUUUGAUGGGAAAAACCGAGGGUAUGCAUUUGUUAUGUACACAGAAAAACACGAGGCCAAGAGGGCAGUGCGGGAGCUCAAUAACUAUGAGGUGCGCCCUGGCCGGCUGCUGGGCGUCUGCUCCUCAGUGGACAACUGCCGUCUUUUCAUUGGCGGGAUUCCCAAAACCAAGAAGCGCGAGGAGAUCCUGGAGGAAGUCUCCAAAGUGACAGAAGGGGUGUUAGACGUGAUCGUGUAUGCCAGUGCUGCUGACAAGAUGAAGAACCGCGGCUUCGCCUUCGUAGAGUACGAGUCCCAUCGAGCGGCCGCCAUGGCUCGCAGGAAGUUGAUGCCGGGAAGAAUUCAGCUGUGGGGCCACCAGAUCGCAGUAGACUGGGCAGAGCCGGAGAUUGAUGUAGAUGAAGACGUGAUGGAGACAGUAAAAAUACUCUACGUUAGGAAUCUGAUGAUGGAGACCAGCGAGGAGACAAUCAGAAAGAUUUUCAGCCAGUGGAACCAAGGAUGCGUGGAGCGUGUGAAGAAAAUCCGUGACUAUGCUUUCGUCCACUUUACAUCCCGAGAUGACGCCGUGCUGGCCAUGGACCACCUCAACGGCACAGAGAUUGAAGGGUCCUGCAUUGAAGUAACGCUUGCCAAGCCAGUAGACAAGGAGCAGUACUCGCGUCAGAAAGCCUCUAAAGGAGGCGCCUCUGCCCCUCCUGAGGCUCCCCAGCAGAACUACAUCUACCAGUGUGACCCCUACACGUUGGCUUACUAUGGUUACCCUUACAGCACGCUUAUUGGACCCAACAGGGAAUACUUUGUCAAAGGAUCCCCAAUGAUACAGAACAAUGCAGGUACCGUGCGAGGGCGUGGUCGUGCUGCCGCAGGUAAUCGUACCCCUGGACCUCGAGGGUCUUACCUAGGGGGUUAUUCUGCCGGUCGCGGCAUCUACAGCCGCUACCACGAGGGCAAGACCAAGCAGCCCGAAAAGCCCUAUGAACUGAUGCCCAGUCUGGAGCUUGCUGCCUCCGUCAACCCAGUUGGCAUCAAACCAGGCACAAUGGCAUUGCCAUCUCUGGGUGCACAGUACCCGGUCUUCAGCACUGCUCCUAAUGCCAAAGUGAUGGAGGAGGGCAAAGUGCACACAGUAGAGCAUCUUAUGAACCCUCUGACCAUGCAGCACCCUGAACACAGCGCUGCCACCGCCGCUGCCGCCGCCGCCGCUGUCCUGCCUGCGGUGUCCACUCCUCCGCCCUUCCAGGGCCGCCCAAUCACUCCUGUCUAUACCAUGACCCACAACCUCCAGCGCAUCCCAGCAGCCACCAGCCUGUACGGACACGGGUAUGUUCCCAUCGCUAACUACGCCGCCAACACAGCCACUCUGGCCGCCCUGCAGAAAAACGCCGUCAUGGCAGCACAGGCGUACGGAGGUUACGCCGGCUAUGCUGUGCCCCAAGCCUUCCCCGCCGCUGCCUUCCCGCUGCCCAUCCACGACGUCUACCAGUCGUACUGAUGCGGAAGCUCAGACCGAGGCGUCCGGUGACUGAAUCUCAAUGGCGUCUCUCCGCGACACACGAAAACAUCGCUCGAACUUCAGCUCGAAUGGAAUUUGUAGCAAAUACUGAGACUGCAAACGGGGACAAAAAUGAAGGCCUGGUAUCUUUUAUUAGUCCCUGCCAUCCUCUGUGUAUCCUGGGGUUAGAGAAAGGGGGAGCAGCUCUGUUAGACAGCAUCACUGUUUGUUUUGUUUUUCUUUCUGAAUUUUGUAACAAAAUUUCCCAGCAUCCCCUGCAACAGUAACCACAACUCCAGUAAUGUUCCGAUUAUCUCUCAUUUUUUGUUGCAACACCUGGCCGCUGUUGCAGCGGGAACAUUAACGGUACUUUUUAAAGUAUUUAUGAAGAAAAGACACAUUGUUCAUGCUUUAUUCCUUAUUUCUCUUUUUAUUUUAUCUUGGUAUUUUCUUCUCUGGAACAGAUCUUUACACUGUAUAAUGUGUGAAAACACAGAAAGAAGGAAAAGGUAACCAGGAACUACUGAUAAGUGGACACCACUGUCUUUGGAUAUAUCAAUUUUUGUAGUCUCUUUUUCAUUAAUAUAUAGUAUUCUAGACUGUUUUACAUGCUGUAGGUGAUGCUGACCAUCCAUGCUGGUUAAAUGUGUAUUGCUUUCCAUAUUUCCACUUGGUACUUUUUUUGGCGUAGUUUGUCUUAUGUUUUAGUUGUUGUAAAUGAAGGUUUUAGGCCUCUUGUUUCUUUUUUUUUUUCUUUUUUUAGUUCCCUGAUUCUUUUGUCCCCAGUUAUGACAUUCAGAAAUGUGUGUCUUGCUGUUGAUACACUAUAAAAACUGCUGAGUUAAAAACAACCUAAUUUAGGAAUAUAUAGCUAACCAAGCUGUGGGUCACAUAUAGACCAAUCCAGAGUUCAACAAAAACGUUUGGGUUAAACUGAAGGAUUUUUUUUUUUUUUAGUUUUUGUCUAGUUUUGUGUUAAAAAUUAUCAAAUACAAAACAUAGAUAAAUGAACACAAGAAACCUACCGUGUCUUAUGAGAUAUUUAGCGACUGUCAGUUUUUGAUAAAAAAAAAAUCAUGUUCAUGAUAAAACUAUAAAAUUUGUCACUUUUUAUUUUCCUUACAGCACAUCUUUGAUUAAAACUCCAAAAUAAAGAUAAUUAUUAAAUUGAAAAUAAUAAUAAUAGUUUUGAAACAUGAUUGCAAGAAAACUUAAAAUAGAAGCCUUUUAAGUCUGGAUGUAUUAACUUUAUAACCAAUUUGUUUCUCAAAAUGUUAACGUGACGCUAGCUUGCGCUAACCACUUCGCAGGUACAUGGCUAAUGCUAGUAAACUUGUUCUUUAAUGCUACAGUCAUUACACACAAGCUGCUGACAUAGACAUUAUUAUACAGCAUAAAUUUACAAUCUCACUGUUUCUGUUUAUUCCUGCGGUCGAGGUUCGCUGAAGUCUGAUCAGGUCGCUUUGUUGCCUAAAUAGCGCUCUCUAAGCCGACAAGCUGGGUCACAAUUUUUAACCAAAUGUUUUGUUGAAACUACCUAACAAAUGUCCCAACAGCAAAAAAAACUCAACAUUUGGAGUAGAAAAAUAACCUUGCAGUUUUUCUUGUGUGUGUGUGUGUGUGUUUGUACCUUUUAGUGAUGGGAAUAUAAAAGGCAAAAACUGGAAUACAUCAAGUGCCUUUUAUGAGUUCCUCAUCAUCUGAAACUGUAUUAGUAGGGGACUGAGACUGAAUAGAUGUUUGUUUUUCUUCAUUUAAGUAUAUUUUAUUGUUUUUUUGAAAUGCUCGAGUCUUGAAAGGUGAACAAAUAUGUUUUUUUUUUCUUUAAGAAUUGGGUAUCUUCAUUGCUUAACCCAUUCCCAUUUUUGUCAACCAAAUACUUAAUACACUCCAGUCUGAUGACUUCAGAGAGACUCUUUUGCACUUGACUACAGUGCCUUACAUCUCUGUACAGUAUGUGCCUUUAGUAACAAAACGGGGCUGUGAGGUUGACACUAGAAGGAACAGGCUCACAUCUGUGCACGGCACCUGAGUCUCUUUCUGUUUGUUUUUCCAGUGAACUCUGUUUUUGUUGUUACUGUAUCACAGUGAGACGAGUGGGUUUGAGGCUCCGGAGUCAGAUGUCAGAAGGCAUCUGCAGUUACGCUCCUGGCUCCCUCUUUAUUUCUCAUCCUCCAAACCGUCCUAGACCAAGGUGCACUUAAACAUAUUUAUAACAGGCAUGGAGCAGCCACCUUGAAAUGAAGAGAUAUUAAAUAUGGAGCGUGAAACUCAUGAGUGGAUAAGACUGGUUUGGUUGUUUGUUUUCCAGUGUUUUAUUAAUGUGUGAGUUUUACUUUGCCGACAACAAAAAAAAAAAAAAAAAAAAAAAAAAGAAGCCUAUAAGAUACGUUUUUUCGGGGCACUUGUGAAACUUCGACGUUUGUGUGCAAGAAGUGCAAAACUGGAGCAAUACCUCACUCUUGGAAUAUGCAAGUAGGCACGCAAUACGCUGGUUGUAGCGAGACCGCUAAACAACGUCAAGCAGCUGCUAAUCAGGAAGUCGCUCUCAUUAACAGCCACGCGAUCAGCGGAGAAAACAAGUACGGAAACCUGUCCGCAUUUUCUUAGUAGUUAGCGCAGAUCUCACGCUUUUUGUGGUCACGACCCAAGUGAAAUCAAACCAUCAAAUCUAACCAAAUGUACUAUAUAAACUAGAGUGGAACAUCUCAGGGAAUAAGUAUUGAACAUGCUCAAUGAAUCGUAUUAAGUACUCCAUGCACGAGUCUCUGUUUUAGUAGCGACUACUUCCAGAUAGCGUCUCGGCAUGCUGUCUUCGAAACUUGAAGGUUCUGUAGGCCUUUUCUACGCCCGCUGAUGUUCUGUGCGUUUUCAAAGGUAUUCCACUGGAUUACAAUCCGGUGACUGAUUUGGUCAGAGGCUUUACUUUCUUUCUGUGAAACCAACUGAGCAUUUCCUGGGCCGUAUGUUCGGGAUCAUUGUCUCCGUUGCAGUAAAUCAGUGUAACUAUCCUUUAUUCAGCAGUGUGAAAUCUCACAGUAUCAUAUGCUUAAAAAAAAGCCCCACAUCCAAACUUCUGGAUCAUGGCCCCGGCAGUGCUCACUGGACUGCUCAGUUGUCAGUAUGCUUAGCAGCAACAAUCUGGAAGAGGUCUCAGGAGAGCUAUUUGCUUUUACCCAUCAUGAGAUGUUUCUUGUGCGACACCCUUAUAAAGAAACACCAUUUUAUAUUUUAUAGUACAGGAAUUAGGACUGAACCAGCCAAUACUAGUUUGCACAAACAAGACGCGGGAUCGCUUUUGCAACUACUGACAGACUGCAGCUCUCUUCUCUGCUUUCUAUGCAUUUCUUCACUUCAUUUCAUUUCUAUGUUCAAUAUUUAUUCCCUGGGGAAUGAUUUCUUUGUAUGCACGGAUAACUUAGGUUCUCCAAAGGUGAAUGGUGUAAAUUCGAGUCAAAAGGCCAAUUAUUUUUAUUUUGGCACAUUCAAUACUUUUUUUUCUCAGCAAUAUAAAAAAAUAAUGUCCCCCCGCCCCCCCAAAUAUUUAAUUGUAUUUUUUUUGGUCCAGUUUCAAUUCCUUAUUUUUUGUGGCAUCUUUCUGUUUGGAAUGUUCCUUUUUUUAAUAUACAUUUCUCAUAUUUUUGAUGACCACGCACAAAUCUGAAAUUGUCCAUCUUUAGAGAGUUGAUGAAGUAAGUUAUUUGCUCCAAGAAUUUAAAUGAAAACGACCAAUGUUCUUGUGAGCCUUCACUCACACUCCAUGUUGUCCUUCUUUCGCUCCAAUUAAACUGGACUUUACGUAGAGAACUAACUGCUGUUAACUGCUUUUAUGAUGAAGAGAGAAAGCCUGGAUAUAUAUUUAAUAUAUGCAUUACACUUGAUAUGUAUGAAGUGAAAAGAAAAGGUAUAAUAUAUUCCGAAAACAUAUUUCUUUGCUUAUUUACAACUUGAGUAGGGAUGAAAAGUCAGAGUAAAGUAGAAAAAGAAAUGUUCUCUUUGUCUUUGUAUUACUUUUUUGCCAAAGUAAGCAGUAGUUUUUAGCUUUUUAACAUUUAUUGUAAUUUUCUUAUCUGUAACCUAACGUACUUGGUGUUAUGAGGGGGAACACAAAGAACCUUCAAGUUCAGCCACAUUUUAGCUGUUUCAGCAAGGAUUAAAGGUGGCUCGUUGAAGUGUUACAGCCCUGGCACUUUGAGCUGGCCGUGUUGCAACUUUGCAUGUCAGAUUUGUCCAGAGAGUCCAACAAUGAUUGAGCUGCCUUACGAACUGAUGAAAAGGCAAAAAAAAAAAAAAAAGUUUGAAAAAAA